rnacentral:tRNA from 1 species
GACUGGAUAGCCUAGUGGUUAAGGCAUAACAUAUGAGUUGUGUCCCAUUUAAGGGUCCUUGGUUUGAAUCUGAGUCUAGUCA